rnacentral:rRNA from 1 species
GACGAACGCUGGCGGCGCGCUUAACACAUGCAAGUCGAGCGAGAACCAGCCCUUCGGGGCUGGGGAAAGCGGCGAACGGGUGAGUAACACGUGGGUAAUCUGCCCUCGGUUCUGGGAUAGCCCGGGGAAACCCGGAUUAAUACCGGAUAGCCUCUUGAGCUCUCGGGCUCUCGGGAAAAGGUAGCUUCGGCCUCCGACCGAGGAUGAGCCCGCGGCGGAUUAGCUUGUUGGCGGGGUAACGGCCCACCAAGGCGACGAUCCGUAGCUGGUCUGAGAGGACGAUCAGCCACACUGGGACUGAGACACGGCCCAGACUCCUACGGGAGGCAGCAGUGGGGAAUCUUGCGCAAUGGGCGAAAGCCUGACGCAGCGACGCCGCGUGAGGGAAGAAGGCCUUCGGUUGUAAC